UAAGACGUAGGGGACGAGCGUUGUCCGGAUUCAUUGGGCGUAAAGCGCGCGUAGGCGGUUUGGUAAGUCGGAUGUGAAAACCAGAGGCUCAACCUCUGGCCUGCAUCCGAUACUGCCCGACUAGAGGUAGGUAGGGGAGAUCGGAAUUCCUGGUGUAGCGGUGAAAUGCGCAGAUAUCAGGAGGAACACCGGUGGCGAAGGCGGAUCUCUGGGCCUUACCUGACGCUGAGGCGCGAAAGCUAGGGGAGCAAACAGGAUUAGAUACCCUGGUAGUCCUAGCCGUAAACGUUGGGUGCUAGGUGUGGGAGGACAUCGACCCCUUCCGUGCCGAAGCUAACGCAUUAAGCACCCCGCCUGGGGAGUACGGCCGCAAGGCUA
rnacentral:rRNA from 1 species